GAUUGUAAUUUCUUCUCUACAGUCGCGGCUG
rnacentral:ncRNA from 1 species